GUAUCUGCUUUUCUCCAAUGAUGACCUUCUACCAUUAGACAACUGGGUUUUUAACACAGAAGCUCAUCCUCUGCCUGUUUUACAUUUAGCCAACACCACACUGUCAGGAAAUCCUGCAUAUCGAUAAAAACAGCUCUAUGAAGAGGAAAAGAGACUGUUUUCAGCUCUGAUUUGUUUACAUGGACCACUUGAGACUUUUAAGCAGGAGAGGAGACGGACACUUGAUAAAACUAGACUUCUGAGUCAAGCAAAUACUGGCGUGAGAAACAAAGCUCUUCAACAUAUAGAUAAGUUAAAACUGAAAGAAGUUCUGUUUUAUACAUGACCAAAACACAUUAGUGUGGUAUUUGCAGGACAGAGACUUCAUGCGCUUUGAACCCUAGCAAGACAUGGAAUCUACUGUUUAAUAUGAACACAGCAGCGUGAGGAAGAAGAGGCUUUCCCAUCCAGGGAGAGGACCUUGCUGCUGUUGGCUGUUGCGAAGAACAGCAGACCAGUCACCUCUUCAGAUCGGUUACCCCACUGGCUGUCAGUUUCUACACUAUCACUCUUAAAAAUGCAAACUCCUUUUCCUCCAGAAGCUACCGAUGUGCAUAGUCUAUCAAAAAGAAUGCAUUUUAUGGACUAAUUGCUGUGUCACUCAUGAAUCUCUCCAUCCUGAGAUUUCUUAGAGCAAGCUGAGUUUGGAGGUAAUGGGUUCUGAGAAAGGUAGGUGCUUAAUAACCAAGCACCAUGGGUAUUGAAACUUCUGACUGAAAUAAUGUGCCCUCAUUCUGAGCACUUCGCAGAGAAGUAGGUUCUGGUCUGCAGAAUGACGUUACGUGCAACCCAAAGUUCAGACUCUUUUCCCUAAGGUACAGUAGAAUAUUUCCAUUUUCAUUCUGUUGCUGCUGUCUGACAUACUUUCAUGAAGAUAGAGUGUAAAUUUAAAGCACAAAAUGACUUUUUAGUCCUAGUUGUUUCCGAGUCUUGCACUGUAUUCUCUAACAAAACUAUCCCCGUUUUCUUUAGGUAGGUGUCCGAUUUUAUCAAUUUCUACAAUACCCUCUCCUCUUACAGGAUGAAAUGAACAGAAAAUCAUGGUUUUUUGGUGCAUUGGAUUUGGGCAAGAGCCUGGAAAUCUCAGAAUUGUCUAUUUCCUGUUUGCAUGAAGUCAAAACAAGGAUAUUCAGUUCUUUUCCUAAUCCAAGCCUCAAGCUUGCCUGUUGGUCCGGAUCUGCUAGCAGGACUUUUUUUUUUUUCCUAACUUAACAGCCUGACUUUUCAAAGAAGCCAGAUUUCUGUAGCAUCCGUUGACCAUUCUGCAGCUCUGUGUGUCCUGCAGUCAAGAAGUCAACUUCUUAGCUUUGUCCUCUAAAGAAAAACAAAUCCUGAGUGAUACUUUGGGUAUUCAUUUUUCUGCAUAAUAUGGUCCUUAAAACUAUAUGCUUAAGGAAAGUAUGGAAAAUAGUAAGUAUGCUGAGUAAAGGGAAAAGCAGGUAGUUCCCUGUGCCAGUCACAACUCUGAGGCUUCUUUAGCUCCCUGCUCAAAUUUGUGCAUCCCUGUCUUCUACCUCCCAAUCACCGACAUAUUCCCACUCAGUAUUUUACAAGAUCUGAAUGUUGAGUGUCCAGGUUCUAAAAAGUGAAAAUAAUUACAUAUUCCCUAUAAUACCAUCCUUUAAGGUUAAAGGUCUGCUCUGUGCUGGUUUACAGCUAAGCAAAGCCCUAUCAUGCUGUCUUUUAUGAUCCCCUCUUCCUGUCCCUCAGGAAAUGAUAUUACAAACCUUCAUCGUAUCACUCUCCCUAGUUUGAAUGGAGAAGUGGUUAAUAGCACUAACAUUGAAAGGAUCAACAAAGUAACCUGGCACCCACAGAAAAUGGUGAGACAAUUUACAUCUCAGGGCUGUAGUAACAGGCUUUUAGCAAAUUGAGCCUGUUACAUACAUUAAUAAGUCUAGUUCAGGUUUUUAAGGGGACAAAUAAGAAAGAGACUUCUUGUUAAUAGAGAAAAGCGAAAGCAAGCUCUUGAUCCGCACCGUAUUUUGGAGAUCUGUUCACCCUGAUAAGACAUCCCUCUUUCGCUCCUUGAAUUUUGAGAAACAGUCUUUGACUCAAGAGUUUGGGUUGCCAUACAAAGAGGAAACCCAAGCUCUAUUGCAAGUUAUGUGCAUACAACUGUAGCAGAGAUGAUAAGCACUACCUGCUCCGGCUGUCAGCUCCUUCUAACAAACUACUACAGCUCCUUCUGUAACUGCCCAGAAAAGUGGGGAACCACCGAAGUGGAAGGAGACAGCCUGACUUGUUACGGUGAAUUGUUGCCUUUUUAAUCCUAAUCGCUUGGUGGGAGUUGGAUUUGCAUUCUGCCUUUAUUCUUGCUUUGUCUAAAAUUCACAGAUUAUUUUUCCUCCAAAAUAAUAAAAGGGCAAAAGUCUUAUCUUCUGAUGUGGAAACCUUCUGCCUCUGACCUGGAAUCCUGCAUAUGUACUUUUUACAGAUUAAAAAAUAAUAUUGUAUAUAAAAAAGAUUGAAUAAAGAAUGUCUUUAAGUGAAAAA